rnacentral:lncRNA from 1 species
GGCCUCGCAGAGACCCGGACUCUUAAGCUCUGCGACUUCCCGCCCAAGGGAGGAAAGGUGCCGCCAUCGCCACCGAGAUGACCAAAGGGGGGCGCAGAGCCCCUGAGCCGAGCUGGGGACAAGGAGGCGGGGGUCGGAGCCCGCCCCGCCCCGUCCUGGGGACCUCCCACCCCUGGGCUGAGUGACCUUCUGCCCCCUGAGGUCUGCAGCCUCUUAAACCCAGCAGCCAUCUAUGCCAACAAUGAGAUCAGCCUGAGCGACGUCGAAGUCUACGGCUUUGACUACGACUACACGCUGGCCCAGUACGCAGACGCACUGCACCCUGAGAUCUUCAGUGCUGCCCGGGACAUCUUGAUAGAGCACUACAAGUAUCCUGAGGGAAUUCGGAAGUA